CACCUCUCAGGGUCGCGCCUGGAGAGUUUCCAGUAGUCUACCAGUCUCGACUACAGGAGGGAGAGUAAAGCAGAGACCCGUCCAUUCCAUUCCUAGGUUGGCCAGGGGCUAGCGAGUGGAAGGCAAUGUGCUACCAGU
rfam:Ornithorhynchus anatinus chromosome 3, whole genome shotgun sequence.